rnacentral:rRNA from 1 species
AAAUGCGGAAGAGAUAAGUGCUGAAAGCAUCUAAGCACGAAACUUGCCCCGAGAUGAGUUCUCCCUGACUCCUUGAGAGUCCUGAAGGAACGUUGAAGACGACGACGUUGAUAGGCCGGGUGUGUAAGCGCAGCGAUGCGUUGAGCUAACCGGUACUAAUGAACCGUGAGGCUUAACCUUACAACGCCGAAGGUGUUUUG